GACGAACGCUGGCGGCGUGCCUAAUACAUGCAAGUCGAACGAGAGCGACCGGUGCUUGCACUGGUCAAUCUAGUGGCGAACGGGUGAGUAACACGUGGUUACCUGGCCCUUCGGAGGGGAUUACCAUUCGGAAAGGGAUCCAAAAACCGCAUAGGUCUUCGAACCGCAUGUUUUGAAGAGAAAAAGAGGCGCAGGCUCCUCCUGUGGAAUGGACCCGCGUUGCAUUAGCUAGUUGGUGAGGUAACGGCUCACCAAGCCCGUGAUGCAUAGCCGACCUGAGAGGGUGAUCGGCCACAUUGGGACUGAGACACGGCCCAAACUCCUACGGGAGGCAGCAGUAGGGAAUCUUCCGCAAUGGACGCAAGUCUGACGGAGCAACGCCGCGUGAGUGAAGAAGGUUUUCGGAUCGUAAAACUCUGUUGUUAGAGAAGAAUAAGUGCUAGAGUAACUGUUAGCGCCUUGACGGUAUCUAACCAGAAAGCCACGGCUAACUACGUG
rnacentral:rRNA from 1 species